rnacentral:misc_RNA from 1 species
ACACGUCCGUAUCGGCACAGCCCUGUGCAGGCGCAGACGAUAAUGCGGGGGAUGGCAACACCACGCGGGGGUGCAUGGCAGCGGUGUGUGCGCCUCAUCGCGCCCACCGCGCGGCGGCAUUGCCUCUGCCAUGGUGGCAGACCGCAGACGACGAUCAGUGGUACACUCAGCCCGCUAUCGGCGCGGCGCGUGUCGUACUCGUCUUCUGCUGAGGCGUUAUCACCGCCGCUGUCUUUCUCGGUGGAGCUUUCGCUUCCCCAUCUUCCCGGCCGCACACCCUUCGCCGCUGCUGCGGGGGCUGCCGGGGCGCCCACCGGCACGUGCUCCGGCGCGGUGCAUCGCGCCACACACGCACUGGGUGGCCGGCACAUUGCCAGCACGGGGGAAAGCCCGACCGCCGAGACGGAGAAGACCCUGAGGACAAACCCAGGAACGCAGGCGAUGAGCACCGAAGAGCUCAUCGCGUGCCUGCUAGGGCUGCCCAGCAGCUCCCCUGCUUCACCGCCGCCACGGAUGCAGCAACGGUGGCUUGCGUUUGUCCACCUAUGCGACUCGCUGGUGCGGCGCACCGCGUCUCCUUCCAAGCGUGGCGUGGCCUUUGCCACCACGUCGACAAGCGUCGGUGCACCGCGACACAGCCUUGUGGGGGUCAUCGUGCCCUGCAAGGAAGUGUACUUCAGCGACCGCCACCUGAAGGCCUCAGCGGCAAGGACAGCUCCCCCAACACUCGCAUCCGCCUCUCUUGCCGCCUCGUCCUUUGCAGAGGACAUGUCGACAACGCAGGCGGCGCUCUUUCUUUUCCACCAUCACUGGCGUGUGCCGGUAACCCUCGCCAUCAACACGACCGUGCCCAACAGUGCUCCUAGUGCGACGGAGAGCAGAGGUUGCACCCAUCCCCGGUCACCUGGUGAGCAGGCUGCGGCUCAUGCAGCAGCCACCCCAGACGGGAUCGACGCGGUGGUGACCGACUUUGUCUUCGCGCAAGGCGGUCGACGGCUUCUGCUCGUGCGCGGCGAUAGCCCACCUGAUGUGCGGCUCUGCCUCAGUGAAGGCAGCCCCAACGGACCUCUCUCCGGGGCUCUCGGUACCGGGAUCGCAGAGGAGGCAUCGCCGUUGCAGCAGGCGCAUCGCGCCCUCCGCACCGGUGCCGAGCUGGUCCACCACGUCAGCACCUUGAGGGAUCAGCAACUAGAAGGGCACAAGCCAUGUGAUGGUGGCACACGUGCCAGCGCGUUAGAACUGUGCGUGGCGGGCUACCCGCAGGGACAUCCGUUGGACCGCACUUGGGGCGCGACAUCAGCUGCCUAUUCUGCCUCUGCAGAAGCCGCCGCAAUGGGCUCGGUGGUAACGGGGGACAGCAGCGUCGCUGCGGCGCGACAGCGUAGCCUUGAGUUUCUGCGUGAGUUCGAGAAGGACUUUGACGCCGCAGAGCACGCGUUCACGGCAGCGGUGUGCGUUGCAAAACGUCGGGCGUGUGUGGUAUCGACCGAGAAGAGGUCCGGCGAGCCCAGGGAGCGUGCGCGGCACCUUUGCAGGCCGCAGGUUGCCAUGCCCGAGCUAAAGGAGCUGUGCCGCACCCUGGGACGACUCGGUGCGGUGCGGCGACUAUGGACGUCCUUCUCCAUCUACGCGCCUCAUGUGCGAGCCGCCUGUAUACAUCGAAUGCUCCACGAGAAGGUGCUGCUGAGGUCGCCUAGCGAGCUCCAACAUCGUCGCAUCGGGAGCUGCAGCUUCCAUGGUGGCGCCGCGGCCCCCGUGAUUGUGACGCAGAUGAUCACAACAGCGAAGGAGUUUACGGACUACGUGGAAGAAAUACAGCGUGGGCUGCGUGCUUGGGCUGCCACUGCAGCGGGUGGAGAGCAGCCAGAGCCGGCCGGUGACGGACCCCAACAGCAGCGCCCCGUACACGAAGCCGCGCCGACCGCACUCACGCCCAUCUCCGUCAUCCCUGGUGUGCUGCUGCCACACCCUACCGAUGCUCACGUACUGCUGCGGUCGCUGUACUACACCAAAGUGAUUCCCAGCGCGCGCAUGCAGAAGGCGCUGGAGGUGUACGCGAGCGAGCUCAUGACCGCAUGGCGGCAGCUCGCCGACGAGCACCCUCGGAGGAAAAGGGAGCCGGCGCGGCAGGAUGACACCUUCUUACAAGCACUGACGGAGGGCAACAACUCUGCGGCGACACUAGAGAUUAGCGAGGAUCGCGUCGCCCAAGUUGAAGCACGCGUGCGUGAGGUGCGGCGUUGCGCGUCUUGCCGCCUCACGUCGGCGUGGCUGUCGGAGACAGUGGAUCUCCUCCACGACCUUCAGCGACAUGGGCAGGCGCGGGUGCACCUCUUCACAAUGUUCAACGACAAGGUGGAUGUGCGAGUGGCGCAGCUGCUGGCGGCCUACGAUGCACAGCGUGGUGCGUCCGCGGAGCAGUGAGGCACCACGAGAACAAAGGGAGAGGGAAGCAGCCAAGUUGGCGUGGCAACUCUGCUGCUCGUUGUGCAUGGCGCUGACGCUGCUGCCACGCUGCCUCGCGCCCACACACAAAAACGCACACACAUUCUUGCAAGCUGUCUUCUCUCUUAUCCAGAACAUAUCUUCGCC